AAGGCACUGAGUGCAGCGUUUCUGCACACGGCUCGCCCACGCCAUCUUGAACAGAGUGUUGGGGGCGAAGCUUUUGCCGUCGUCGCCACCGUUUUGCACCAUGCAUCCUGUUGGGAAGAGCUGGAGGGAGGCCUCUGUACCCGGUGCCCUGGGAACCAGUGAACUAGACUCAGCGCAGAGAAAACAAGGGCUGCCCUUGCUCUUUCACUAAACUGGAAGUAACGAUGGAGAAUGCUACUGUUGACCCCGGAGGUUGGCAAGGACAGCAAAAAGCUGGUGCAGCCACUACACCGUGUACAGAGGUCAAGAGGACAGCAGUACUGGCGAGACCACAGGCAGGACUGCUGGGGUUCCAACUUGUUCACAAGUCCCCACUGUCCCCAGGCGUCCAGCACCGUGGGGGCCAACCAGAGGCAGCAGACACACAAGAGUUUCAGUCUCCAAUCCCCAAUGAUUCCACAGUGUGACCUCCUCAGAGGGGCACAGUCCAGAUGACUAUGGGGGUUAUGCUGGGUGCACACCACACCUGGGUGUGAGGUUGCUGGGCAGAGUUGCUCUGAAUUCAGCCAGAGGCCACCACCAUUCUACCUGUCAGAGUGUACUCAGAGAUUAGAGUCAGUCAUCCUUGCAGGAGCCUCCCAAAGCCACUUAUGCCAAGCCUGGAGCCUAGGCAACAGGUGCAGGCAAAAAGGCCAUGACCUGUCCUAUGUGGGUCUCCAGAGUUUGUUAUUAACCCCUUUGCGUCAGUCCUCAGUAAGAGUCUUCCUGCCCUGUGUUGUUUGAGCCAAUAAAAUGAGACCAAGUUUGAUUCA